rnacentral:rRNA from 2 species
ACAUACCUAUACGUUGCCUCGGCGGAUCAGCCCGCGCCCCGUAAAACGGGACGGCCCGCCCGAGGACCCCUAAACUCUGUUUUUAGUGGAACUUCUGAGUAAAACAAACAAAUAAAUCAAAACUUUCAACAACGGAUCUCUUGGUUCUGGCAUCGAUGAAGAACGCAGCAAAAUGCGAUAAGUAAUGUGAAUUGCAGAAUUCAGUGAAUCAUCGAAUCUUUGAACGCACAUUGCGCCCGCCAGUAUUCUGGCGGGCAUGCCUGUUCGAGCGUCAUUUCAACCCUCAAGCUCAGCUUGGUGUUGGGACUCGCGGUAACCCGCGUUCCCCAAAUCGAUUGGCGGUCACGUCGAGCUUCCAUAGCGUAGUAAUCAUACACCUCGUUACUGGUAAUCGUCGCGGCCACGCCGUAAAACCCCAACUUCUGAAUGUUGACCUCGGAUCAGGUAGGAAUACCCGCUGAACUUAAGC